rnacentral:rRNA from 1 species
CCAAUAGCGUAUAUUAAAGUUGUUGCAGUUAAAAAGCUCGUAGUUGAAUUUCGGGAUUCUACCGUUGGUCGGGCUAUCCAGUCUGUACUAGCGUGUAGAAUUUCUACCUUCUGGGGAACCAUCAUGUUAUUAAUUUAGCGUGGUGGGAAACCAGGACCUUUACCUUGAAAAAAUUAGAGUGUUCAAAGCAGGCUUACGUCUGAAUACAUUAGCAUGGAAUAAUAAAAUAGGACGGUGGUCCUGUUUUGUUGGUUUCUGAAUCACCGUAAUGAUUAAUAGGGAUAGUUGGGGGCAUUAGUAUUCAAUUGUCAGAGGUGAAAUUCUUGGAUUUAUUGAAGACUAACUUCUGCGAAAGCAUUUGCCAAGGAUGUUUUCAUUAAUCAAGAACGAAAGUUAGGGGAUCGAAGACGAUCAGAUACCGUCGUAGUCUUAACCAUAAACUAUGCCGACUAGGGAUCGGACGAUGUUAAAUAUUAUUGACUCGUUCGGCGCCUUACG